rnacentral:lncRNA from 1 species
CUUGUAGGCUGGAAUGUGAAGAUGCCAACAUGAGCUGAUUUUCUGGCUAUCAUUUAUGCUAUGAAUAUUUUAUGAACCAGCUUGAUGGCUGGGAUAGAGAGACAGAAAAAAGUGAAACAACCCACUUCAUUGAGGGUGAGCUCCUUCAGACUAAUGUAAGGCAAUUUGAAAGCCUCAACACCAGAUGUGAAUGUGAAUUUGACUUAAGGGCUCAAGUCCCAAAAUCACAAUGAAGAGAUAAAGCUGACAGAGCAGAGAAACAAACUCUGCCCAAAAAGAGACAUGAGAUGCCGUGAUCCGUAUCAGCCUGUUGCCACCAACAUUCUCCUCCUUUGGAUUGGAGUCAAAUGCUGACCCAUCACUUGGAGCAUGGCCUGAAGGUUGUUUCUCAUAAUCUUUUUGGAAUUGGGCUCAAAUCCACUGCCCUGAAACAGCUCAAGAAAAUGAAGGGAAUCGCUAAAAUUCCCAAGGGCUACUCUGGUUUGGGGAAAUCAUCUCUGCAGUUGUAGGGCUUUUUUUUUUGAACAUGGUCUAUGUGGGAAACAGUUUCCUGCUUCUCUCUGAUGUAAUUCUGCCAAGACAUAUUUGGAGUGUUUAUUGGUGCCAGUUUUUGCUUUAUUUUUGGAAAAUGUUCUUCACACCUGGGUCUUGAAAGACCCGCAGACCCAGAGCAGCGUGAGCUGAGCUGCCUCACACAAGCAUGUCUUUCUGUGGCAAUGAUCUCAUGCAGUUGAGAAGGUCAGAAGUGAAAACGCUAACAUCUACUGCCUCAGUUGCCCACAGCUCUUCUCACAUCCCCAGCCAAACCAGAGUCAACCUUGAGGGAGCCUCAGGAAAUGUGAAAUUGGAUUUUUGACCUCACCCAGCUGUGCAGAGUCACUAACAACCUCUGUAUGUGGAGGUGGCCCACAGCCUUCAGUCAGGCUACUGCUCCUUCACCUGGUCAUCUCUUAAUGCUUUUCAUGGUUCUAAGGAAGACAAAGGAGUCCUGCUGGCUUGAGUUAUCCUGUUCAUUUCCACCUCUUCUGCUGUUAAGAAGAUCCUCAGCUGGUCCAGGCUUGACUCAUUUAUGGACUAGGACCAUUUAUCAGGGUGGUGGGAGUACUUCAUAACUACUCUACUAAUGAUGAGAAGGAUGAGGUCAGUCCUCUCAGGUAGUUAUAAGUGGUAGUUAUGAGUAUCAAACUCAUCAAAAGAGUUACAAAGCAGUGUUUU